AGAGUUUGAUUAUGGCUCAGAACGAACGCUGGCGGCGUGGAUUAGGCAUGCAAGUCGAACGGGACUUUAUGUUGUAGCAAUACUUUAUAAAGUCUAGUGGCGUAAGGGUGAGUAACACGUGGGUAAUGUACCCGAUAGUUUGGGAUAACGUUCCGAAAGGGACGCUAAUACCGGAUGUGAUGUUAGACCGCCGGGUUUAACAAGGAAGGUGGGGACCGCAAGGCCUGCCGCUAACGGAACGGCCCGCGACCUAUUAGCUAGUUGGUGGGGUAAAGGCCUACCAAGGCGAGGAUGGGUAGCCGAACUGAGAGGUUGACCGGCCACACUGGGACUGAGACACUGCCCAGACUUCUACGGAAGGCUGCAGUCGAGAAUCAUUCACAAUGGACGAAAGUCUGAUGAUGCGACGCCGCGUGCGCGAUGAAGGUCUUCGGAUUGUAAAGCGCUUUGAACAGGGAAGAAUGCCGCGUAUUUAAUAGAUAACGCGGAGGGACAGUACCUGACAAACAAGCCCCGGCUAAUUUCGUGCCAGCAGCAGC
rnacentral:rRNA from 1 species